rnacentral:misc_RNA from 1 species
CCGGGAAAGUUUAUGUAAGCGUCCCUCCUGCCUUUUGCUUUUCGUUCCUCUCCCUGACGCUGACGCAUCCAUGCGCCAGAGGCAGUUGACGCGCAGCGGGUCGCGGCCUAGAGUCGCGGCAUGAAGCCGCGGCAAACCACCUGCAUUUCACGGGGACUGACUUCCGGUCAAUAUUACUGUUAGGCCGCUUCACACGUAUGGAAUCUAAGCAUGGAUUUGUAAUUGGCUCACCACUCAAUCAGGAUAUUCUGCGGCAACGAAAUUUGUCAGCGAUUGUUGCAGCCGACCGGGCGUUUCCGGCGGCGGCCGCUGAGCUGGGUCGUUCCGCAAGAAUGAGCAUUGUUAGGAGCAAGCGACAUUUUGUUAUCGUCCUCAUGUUCGCAUCUGGAUGGAUUGGGUCAAUCAAGGCACAGGAAGCCGACAAUCGAAAUAUCCUCUGGUCAGUAGGUUGGAGUUCGGAUGGCAAGCUCUUCGCGGUCGGCGGUCCACGGGUUGAGUUAUUCGAUGCAAAGACGCAUGCAAAGCGUCUGGCUCCAGGUCUUCGUACUUUGAGGUCGGUGAGUAAGGUGCGUUGGCACCCACACCGCAAUCUACUCGCGAUUUCUGGAGGAGCCGACGACGUGACCGCAAUUUACGACCCGGCUGCUGAUCACAAGAUUCCAUUGAAAACCAAGGAGGGGACCCGCGGGAUCGCGUGGAAUUCGAGCGGUAACAUGCUGGCUACUGCCGGAAACCGCGGAGAGUUACAAAUCUGGACUGCUGACGGAAAACUAUUGCACACGACGCGACCCGAGAAUGCCAAAGGUUUGACAGGCGUGGCCUGGCAUCCAAUAGAAGACAAGAUCGUGACGGUCGGAGAAUUCAUCACCCUGCAUGACGAAAGCGGAAAAAUCAUCAAACAGGUGCGUCAUCGACCGGAGGCUAGGAUGCCGGUGCUGCUGUUGUGCGUGGACUGGCAUCCGUCCGGAGAAUUCUUUGUAGUGGGAGACUAUGGCAAUCCGAAUACUUCUGGCGAUUCACCGGCGAUCCAGUUUUGGUCAUCCGAUUGCAGGCUGCUAAAGGCGAUUGAAAUCGAAAGUGCCGCGGAGUUCAGGAAUGUCAGUUGGAAUCGCGACGGUAGCUUGCUUGCAUCGGCGAGCGAUGUACUGCGCAUUUGGUCGAAGGACGGUCAAUUACAACACACCGGCAAGUCGCCCGAUCACCUCUGGGGCGUCCACUGGAACCCUAACGGAGAUCGGUUGUUAACAUCGAGUCAGCAAGGACGUGUUACUCUGUGGACCGCCACCGC